rnacentral:rRNA from 1 species
UACGGAGGGUGCAAACGUUGCUCGGAAUUAUUGGGCGUAAAGCGCACGUAGGCGGUCCCUCAAGUCGGGUGUGAAAGCCCUCGGCUUAACCGAGGAAGUGCAUUCGAAACUAAGGGACUUGAAUACUGGAGAGGAUGGCGGAAUUCCCGGUGUAGAGGUGAAAUUCGUAGAUAUCGGGAGGAACACCAGCGGCGAAGGCGGCCAUCUGGACAGAUAUUGACGCUGAGGUGCGAAAGCGUGGGGAGCAAACAGG